CCCCCCCAACACCCCUAUAUCCACCCCUAUACCCACCCCCCAGAAAUCAGCACCUGGCAGCUAUGGGGUAUCAAUAGGGGUGGGCAUCCCACCGCCCACCACCGCUUUGGGGACACGGGGGACAUGACCCCCUUUACCGGGUGACACUUUGGGGGACACGUCCUAUAGGGUCUCUGGAAUCCCACCCCCCCCACCCAGGGAACUGGGGUGCCCAGGACCCCAUGUAAAGGUUAUGGGGUGCCCAGGACCCCCAUACUCAGUGACCCUCAACCCCAGCCUGUAGGUGCCUCUAUAUGGGGUCCCUGAGACUCCAUGGGGAAUUGGGGUCCCCUGGACCCCCACGUAGAGGUUAUGGGGUGCUCAGGACCCCUAUGUAGAACCUGUGGGUUCCCUGAGACUGCUGUUCUGAGGUCAUGGGGUGCCCAGGACCCCCAAACUCAGCGACCCCCCAACCUGAGGGCACUGGGUGCCCCUAUGUAGCAUUCUUGGGACCCUAUAGGGAAUUGGGGAUCCCAGCACCCCCAUGCAGACGUUAUGGGGUGCCCAGGACCCCUAUGUAGAGCCUAUGGUGUCUCUGGACCCCAAUGGGAAGGAACUGGGGUGCUCAGGAACCCCAAACCUAAGGGAACCCCCAAUGCAGAAUCCCUCUAUCAGAGGUAUGGGGUUCCCAGGACCCCCAUGCAGACGUUAUGGGGUGCCCAGGACCCCAAACUGUGUAACCUCCCCAACCCCAGGGCUGUGGGUGCCCCUAUAUGGGGUCGCUGAGACUUCGGGCACCGGAGUGCCCAAGACCCCCACGUAGAGGUCAUGGGGUGCCCUAUGUGGAAGCUAUGGGGUCCAUGAGAUCCCCAUGCUCAGCUUAUGGGGUGCCCAGGACCCCCAUACCCAGUGACCCCCCAACCCCAGGGCUGUGGGUGCCCCUAUAUGGGGCCCUGAGACCCUUAAGGGCAUUGGGGUGCGCAGGACCCCUAUUCAGAGGUGAUGGGGCUGUGGGUCACACCGAGGACAGUCCCAUAGCUUUGGGGUCACACAGCCUCUCUGUGGGGGGGGUCGGGGGGGUCGGAUUUCCCGGCGCGGUGUCGGUGUCGGCCCCGAGGUUUAAAAAUAAAGUAUCCAAAUAAUGGGGUCGGGGUCAUCCGACACUGCCCGGGGGGGAAAUAGGGACAUGGGAAAGGGGGGGGCACCACACAGCCCUGCGUGGGGGUCCCGGGCACCCCAUAUAGGGGUCCUGGGAACCCCAUAACCUCUGCAUGGGUGUCCUGGGUACCCCAAUUCGCCGUAGGGUCUCAGGGACCCCCUAUAGGGGCACCCAAAGCCGUGGGGUUGGG
ensembl:lncRNA